UGAUAAUGUUGUAAUAUUUACAGAGUGAAAUUAUUAAAUGUUGUUAAUUUAUUUACUAAGACCUGCGCACCGUGGUCAGAUUCCCACUACAGUGGUCGACCGGUCUAUGUCUCGCAAUAUUAUACAUAUGCAUAUGAAGUAAACUAUACAUUAUAAUAAUUUAUAUAAUUAUAUUUCAGUGUGCUUCAAGUGAAAACGGCCUGAGCACAUCACCGGGAAUUUGAUGGGAUGUCUAUACCAGAGACCGGUGAACAGAGCAUGCCAAGGGUCACCGGCAAUAAACAUUGAAUAAAUUAAAAUAAUAAUUAUUAUUCAAGAUUUAUUAAAAUAUAUAUAUUAUCACGUCAGUCAUGUUAUAUUUUCGGACAAUUAUCGAAAAUAAAAUGGUAUCGGUCGAACUGACAACGUCCAUUCUACAGCAUAGUUCAAGCCCAGAAUACGUUCAUCAUAAAAGAAUAAGCUCAACAACAGACUUCAUCAUCAUCUCAAGAACGUAUAUGACUUCAACAGAUGGAGAACAUUUAGAUCAGAAUAUUCAAGAUAAUAGCUGGUCCAAACAGCAGUGGGCUGCAACUACCGAGGCAUCGACUUAUAAUUUAUUUAAUU